GAUAUCUCGCCCCGUCUCUCUACGAUUCAUAUACUCUCUCUCUCCCUCAUAUAUUUUCUCUAGAAAAUGCCCCUUCAUCUCCAUUAUCGGUUAACGCAACCACUACCACAACUCUCUUCCUUUUCUCUUGCCAAACCGAUGACCUCCACCACCACACAUACCAGUGUUUCCGCCACCAUCAUCGAAUCAAAUUUACUCUCCUAUGUAUUUCCCUUUGAUCUAGAUGCUUCACACCUCAUAAAUCGACCCUACCUAUAUCUCUCUACAUGUCUAUAUCCAGAUCAGCCAUCGCCACUCGCCUCAAGGGUUUCGAGUUGAAGCGAACGACCUCUUGUAUAUGCACCAGUUCUCUCACAUCAUUGACAUUGAAUUCGAUUUCCAAAGCUCUAACCUCAGGUCGAAAACCUCUCCAUGAAGGUGAUAUUUUCUCUCUCGGAUCAUCAUCCAUUCUGAUGGCAUUUGUUUGAAGGGUGCGUUUUAAAAAGGGUUUUUGAAGGUUGACCAGAUGAUGUGAGCAGAUUCGGGAAUCACCCUAUCAUCUCUAUUUUCUCCGCUAGGUAUUAUUUAUUGAGUUUGCUUCUACUUAUUUCCAUGGUUGAAGCUCAAGAUGAUGUGUUGUUCUAGACUUUGGAGAUCGAUUGAGUUUAGAAAUUGGGUGUCUAAACUUGGGAAAAACUAUUCGAAGCAUUAAGAGUCACAUUGGAUCUAGAAGGUUUUGAAACAAUUUCUUUGUUUCUUAGCUAGAAUGACUGGUUUUCAUUGCAGACUAACGAGAAUUCUUGCAAUUAUAUUGUUCUCUUGGAAUUUUUACAAUAAUGAUAAUCAAUUUGUAAAGUAAAAACAAAUGUAUGAUGAUUUAAAAAAUUAACCAGUAAAGUUAGUGAUACAUCAUCUUACUAAUAUUAUUGUAGGUUCUUGGUAAGUGUGUUAGUUCCACCUAUUUAUUCACAUAAUAGUGUCAUAAGGACUUUUUAUGUUGCUUUAAAUGCUUUACAUUUUAGACUUAUAAAGUUAAUAAUUUUGUUUCUUCUAUUUAGUGGAGAACUUGAAAACAUGUCCUCCCUUUUAAUAUGUUUCUGGACCAUUUUGCCCUUGGUGUGGCAUUGGUGUUUUUCUUCAAUUUUGGUGUUGACAUUUUUUU